rnacentral:rRNA from 1 species
GACGAACGCCGGCGGCGUGCUUAACACAUGCGAGUCGAACGGAAAGGCCCUGCUUUUGUGGGGUGCUCGAGUGGCGAACGGGUGAGUAACACGUGAGUAACCUGCCCUUGACUUUGGGAUAACUUCAGGAAACUGGGGCUAAUACCGGAUAGGAGCUCCUGCUGCAUGGUGGGGGUUGGAAAGUUUCGGCGGUUGGGGAUGGACUCGCGGCUUAUCAGCUUGUUGGUGGGGUAGUGGCUUACCAAGGCUUUGACGGGUAGCCGGCCUGAGAGGGUGACCGGCCACAUUGGGACUGAGAUACGGCCCAGACUCCUACGGGAGGCAGCAGUGGGGAAUAUUGCACAAUGGGCGGAAGCCUGAUGCAGCAACGCCGCGUGCGGGAUGACGGCCUUCGGGUUGUAAACCGCUUUCGCCUGUGACGAAGCGUGAGUGACGGUAAUGGGUAAAGAAGCACCGGCUAACUACGU